UUCUUGAUACUUAGCGGCGGACGGGUGAGUAACACGUCUGUAACCUGCCUGUAAAACUGGGAUAACUACGGGAAACGGUAGCUAAUACCGGAUAACAUAUUUCCUUUCAUGAGGAGAUGUUGAGAGGCGGAGCAUUCUGUCACUUAUAAAUGGGCCUGCGGCGCAGUAACUACUUGGUGAGGUAACGGCUCACCAAGGCGACGAUACGAAGCCGACCUGAGAGGGUGAACGGACACACUGGGACUGAGACACGGCCCAGACUCCUACGGGAGGCAGCAGUAGGGAAUCUUCCGCAAUGGACCCUGGUCUGAGGGAGCAACGCCGCGUGAGAGAUGAAGGUUUUCUGAUCUUAAAGCUCUGUUGCCAGGGAAGAACAUUCAUGAUAUUAACUGCUCUUGAAAUGACGGUACCUGAAAAUAAAGCCCCGGCUAACUACGUGCCAGCAGCCGCGGUAAUACGUACGGAGCUAGCGUUGUCCGGAAUUAUUGGGCGUAAAGCGCGCGCAGGCUGUCAUUUAAGUUGGGUGUUUAAUCCCGGGGCUCAACCCCGGGUCGCACUGAAAACUGGGUGACUUGAGUACAAAUUACGAGAGUGCAAUUCCACGUGUAGCGGUGAAAUGCGUAGAUAUGUGGAGGAACACCAGUGGUGGACGCGACUCUCUGGGCUGUAACUGACGCUGAGGCGC
rnacentral:rRNA from 1 species